UACGUAGGGUGCGAGCGUUAUUCGGAAUUACUGGGCGUAAAGCGUGCGCAGGCGGUUUGUUAAGACAGAUGUGAAAUCCCCGGGCUCAACCGGGGAACUGCGUCCGAUACUGGCAGGCUUGAAUCCGGGAGAGGGAUGUGGAAUUCCAGGUGUAGCGGUGAAAUGCGUAGAUAUCUGGAGGAACACCGGUGGCGAAGGCGGCAUCCUGGACCGGCAUUGACGCUGAGGCGCGAAAGCCAGGGGAGCAAACGGG
rnacentral:rRNA from 1 species